rnacentral:lncRNA from 1 species
GAGAUGAAAAUCUGCAAAAGACAUCUACAGACUUAUGGAUUAGACUCACAGAGAAACGAUCCUAGCAGGUCCGGGCUCUCCGUCUCCUGUGCAGGUCACUCCCUUCCAGGUAUAUGCUCUCGGAGAACAAGGAUCCGCCUCCCAGUUUUCCGUCACCUUGAGCGCGUCUUUGAUGUCUUCCAUUGCAGAAACUGGGGCACGAAGCGUACACAUCGUCUCAGAAGAUCUCAGAUUGAAGAGUAGGACAUCAGAAAUACAACAGGAAAAGGCUUCAGCACGUGCACGCACGUCAAUGGGGGGGUCUUUAGAGCUGGUGCAGUCAGCUGAUGAUGAUGCUUAACUUAAUUACGUAUAAAUUAUGUACGGAAGAUGAGCAAAGCAAUGGAGUAAAAGGGGAAUAAAACAGAGUGAACUGGGGAG